rnacentral:misc_RNA from 1 species
UUUCCGUAGGUGAACCUGCGGAAGGAUCAUUAUUGUAUAACCGAGGUGCGAGGGCUGUCGCUGACCCGAAAGGUCGUGCACGCCCGAGUGCCCUCACACACAUCCAACUCACCCCUAUGUGCACCACCGCGUGGGUCCCCCUUUGGCUUGUUCGGAGGGGGGCUUACGUUUUCACACAAACUUUGUAUGCAGUGUAGAAUGUAUUUUUUGUUUUUGCGAUCACGCAAUCAAUACAACUUUCAACAAUGGAUCUCUUGGCUCUC